AACGAACGCUGGCGGCAUGCCUAACACAUGCAAGUCGAACGAGACCUUCGGGUCUUGUGGCGCACGGGUGCGUAACGCGUGGGAACCUGCCCUUAGGUUCGGAAUAACUCCCCGAAAGGGGUGCUAAUACCGGAUAAUUUCUUCGGACCAAAGAUUUAUCGCCUUUGGAUGGGCCCGCGUUGGAUUAGCUAGUUGGUAGGGUAAAAGCCUACCAAGGCGACGAUCCAUAGCUGGUCUGAGAGGAUGAUCAGCCACACUGGGACUGAGACACGGCCCAGACUCCUACGGGAGGCAGCAGUGGGGAAUAUUGGACAAUGGGCGAAAGCCUGAUCCAGCAAUGCCGCGUGAGUGAUGAAGGCCUUAGGGUUGUAAAGCUCUUUUACCCGGGAUGAUAAUGACAGUACCGGGAGAAUAAGCUCCGGCUAACUCCGUG
rnacentral:rRNA from 1 species